rnacentral:rRNA from 1 species
UACGUAGGGUGCGAGCGUUGUCCGGAAUUAUUGGGCGUAAAGAGCUCGUAGGCGGUGUGUCGCGUCGGCCGUGAAAACCUGGGGCUCAACUCUGGGCGUGCGGUCGAUACGGGCAUCACUUGAGUUCGGCAGGGGAGACUGGAAUCCUGGUGUAGCGGUGAAAUGCGCAGAUAAUCAGGAGGAACACCGGUGGCGAAGGCGG